rnacentral:rRNA from 1 species
GAUGAACGCUGGCGGCGUGCCUAAUACAUGCAAGUCGAGCGAACAGACGAGGAGCUUGCUCCUUCGACGUUAGCGGCGGACGGGUGAGUAACACGUAGGUAACCUACCUAUAAGACUGGGAUAACUUCGGGAAACCGGAGCUAAUACCGGAUAAUAUUUCGAACCGCAUGGUUCGAUAGUGAAAGAUGGCUUUGCUAUCACUUAUAGAUGGACCUGCGCCGUAUUAGCUAGUUGGUAAGGUAACGGCUUACCAAGGCAACGAUACGUAGCCGACCUGAGAGGGUGAUCGGCCACACUGGAACUGAGACACGGUCCAGACUCCUACGGGAGGCAGCAGUAGGGAAUCUUCCGCAAUGGGCGAAAGCCUGACGGAGCAACGCCGCGUGAGUGAUGAAGGUCUUCGGAUCGUAAAACUCUGUUAUUAGGGAAGAACAAACGUGUAAGUAACUGUGCACGUCUCGACGGUACCUAAUCAGAAAGCCACGGCUAACUACGUG